rnacentral:tRNA from 1 species
GCCUGAGUGGCUCAGUCGGUUGAGCAUCUGACUUUGGCUCAGGUCAUGAUCUCACGGUUUGUGAGUUCGAGCCCCACGUUGGGCU